rnacentral:tRNA from 1 species
GAUGAUAAAGUAAAAUUUUAUUCUAAAUAAUUUACAGGAUAAUGUUGACCGUCCUCAUUUCUCUUCUUAAAUGUAUGUGUUUCUCUUGAAUGGGGGCCGGUAGCUCAGUUGGUUAGAGCACACCCUUGAUAAGGGUGGGGUCGAAAGUUCGAGUCUUUCUCGGCCCACCAAUAAGAAAAUUAAGGGGGAUUAGCUCAGCUGGGAGAGCGCCUGAUUUGCAUUCAGGAGGUCAGCGGUUCGAUCCCGCUAUCCUCCACCAAACACUUAGUUAUAUUAAAUCGUAAAUAAAAAUUAUUAAUAUCAAUAUCUAUAUCCGAACAUUAACAAUGUUGUUAUCAAGUUAAUGUUCAAACAAAAAUUUAAUUCAACACAGAAUUUUUUUCUGUGCAUAAAUUAAGCGUUUAAGGGCGUGUGGUGGAUGCCUUGGC